GUCGGCUGUAAACCUGCCUGAGGUGCCACAGAAGAGUUGAGAAAAGUUGCGUAGGAACCGGCCAAUCACGCAACGGUCCCGCCUCCGCCUGAUGUCAAAGCGAGUGUCAAUGUUUACAACUUCAAUGAGAAGAUGUCACAGAAAUAUCCAUGAAAAGAGGAAAAAAACAUAAUGAGAGUGAAUUUCAGAAGCAGCAAUCAGAUGAGUGCAGUUCUGGACCAAAACUGAGGAUGACAGAGUUUCUUCACUCACUUCAUCCAUGUCUUUUUCUUUUAAUGUAUGAUUGUUCAUGUACUCAGAGGGGCAAUUUGUUUUGCCUCUGAUGUUUGUACUUGACUCCUACAUAUAUUUAACUUUCUAAAGCAAACAUUUCUGAUCUUUUGUAGGGAGAUUGUGUUGAAAAUGUCCUAAAAGAAGUCAUCUGAUAUUAAAGUCUAUAAACAUAUAUUUUUCCACUGAAAUCUGACUAAAUAGAAAAUGAAGUAUUUUUCUUUGUUGAGUGCACUGGUUCGCUUCAUUUCAUGCUGCAACAUUCCUGUUGUGAUCCAGUAUUGAUUUAAUAAAAGUUACAACAAUCAA